rfam:Magnaporthe oryzae 70-15 chromosome 1, whole genome shotgun sequence.
ACAUACGACCAUACCCACUGGAAUAUACGGGAUCCCGUCCGCUCUCCCCUAAUCAAACCAGUGAGGGCAAAAGUAGUACGGGGAGCAUUUGGUGCCAUGGUGA